rnacentral:misc_RNA from 1 species
CAAGCAGCUGCUGCUGUUGCUGAUGCUGUAAACCAGAGACAUUACUUUGAGAGCCUAAUUGCUGUUGAUGCAUACUCAAGAGGUUAUUUUGCUGAGUCAUUAAUUGCUGCUGCUGCUGCUGCUGCUGCUGCAGAUUUUGAAUGUUAUUCUGCUGGCCGAGCAAUCUCUGCUGCUGCAUGUCUCCAAGAUUGUUUUGCUGUCCAAUUAACUGAUUUUGCUGCAUAUUGGUGACAUUUGGUUGCUGGCUCACUAAUUGUUGCUGCUGCUGCUGGGCAGGCAACAGUUGCUGCUGCAUCAUUGAUGUUUGCUGUUGAUGAAUGCUAGAAGCCUGUUGCAGCUGUUGCUGCCUGAGGACUGAUUGUGGAUGUUGUUGAAGCACGGAUUGUGUUGAUUGUUGAACAGGAGGAGGCUGACCCUGUUGAAGACCAGAAAUUACUGAUUGCAUCAUAGAUGGCUGCAUAACAGAUGAUGUUUGCAUACUUGAUUGCUGAGAAGAUUGCAACUGAGUUGGCUGUAAAAGGUUUUGCUGCUGCUGCUGUUGCUGUUGUUGGAUUUGAGAUUGCACAAGUGAAUGUGGUAAAUUUCCGUUCUGGUACUUCUGCUUCAUGAGUUGUAAUUGCUGCUGAUAAAGAUACUGCUGAGGAUUUUGGGAUUGCUGCUGCUGCUGUUGGGGAACAACCUGUUGCCUUCCUGGCAUUUGUCUCUGAGAAUUGGCAAAAAUAUUGGAGGGCACCCCUUGUCCCAUUGAAUUCCCUGCUGUGCUCUGUGGAACUCCAGAAAUAUUCUGAAUGUUAGGAUUCUGACCAACAACACUGGGGAUAGAAUUCUGUGUUAAACCAGAAACGGGGGGUAGUGCAGAUGUUAAACUGGCAGAACUUUGAAACCCAGUAGAUGUCAUAUUAUUCUGAAUGGUCUGGGAUAACAAUUGCUGACGCGUUUGAGACUGGUUCGCUUGCAUUGGGAUAGGAAGUGACUGCCCUUGAUUUUGAACUUGGGGCUGCAUACUAUGAGAUGCUCCUGGAUCAGAAGGUCUGUUGUUAUUGCCAGGUGGGUUGGGAGGCAAAGGAUUAGGCACUGGCUUUUGGGACUUGGACUCUAGUGUAAGCAUCUUCAAAGAUAUUUUCCGUAGAUAAUCCGACUGGCUUAUGGCAGCAGUGUAAAUCUUUUCUUCAAACCGAAUAGCAAUUAUCUUGAGUUCCUCUAAUCCCUCUUGUCCAGAAAAUGGAACUUGUCUUUUUAAUGUCUCCAUUAUUUUGUUGACAAUUCUAUGUCGUGAAUCAGGCUGUAAUUGAGCUCUCCAAUCACCGGUGUCAAUUGCAGGUUCUCCACCUUGGGCAUUAGGUCUCCAGUUAGUGUUCUCCAUCAGAUUCCAACCAAGAAAAAUAAACCGCUGCUAACACUUGAGAUUGGAACCCUUUUCUCGCUGAUUUGCUUGCUGUUUCUUUCGUUCGUUAUCAGGCGGACUUGAAAAUAUGCAGCAGAAGAGAACUGCAGAAGAGAGGAGAGAGAUAGCAAACGAGCGAGAGAGAGAGAAAA